rnacentral:rRNA from 1 species
GCAAUGGCGCAGCUACCAUGCAGUCGAGCGGAAACGAAGAGGUGCUUGCACCUCUGGCGUCGAGCGGCGGACGGGUGAGUAAUGCUUGGGAAUAUGCCUUAUGGUGGGGGACAACAGUUGGAAACGACUGCUAAUACCGCAUGAUGUCUACGGACCAAAGUGGGGGACCUUCGGGCCUCACGCCAUAAGAUUAGCCCAAGUGGGAUUAGCUAGUUGGUGAGGUAAUGGCUCACCAAGGCGACGAUCCCUAGCUGGUUUGAGAGGAUGAUCAGCCACACUGGGACUGAGACACGGCCCAGACUCCUACGGGAGGCAGCAGUGGGGAAUAUUGCACAAUGGGCGCAAGCCUGAUGCAGCCAUGCCGCGUGUGUGAAGAAGGCCUUCGGGUUGUAAAGCACUUUCAGUAAGGAGGAAAGGUUAAGUGUUAAUAGCACUUAGCUGUGACGUUACUUACAGAAGAAGCACCGGCUAACUCCGUGCCAGCAGCCGCGGUAAUACGGAGGGUGCGAGCGUUAAUCGGAAUUACUGGGCGUAAAGCGUACGCAGGCGGUUUGUUAAGCGAGAUGUGAAAGCCCCGGGCUCAACCUGGGAACUGCAUUUCGAACUGGCAAACUAGAGUGUGAUAGAGGGUGGUAGAAUUUCAGGUGUAGCGGUGAAAUGCGUAGAGAUCUGAAGGAAUACCGAUGGCGAAGGCAGCCACCUGGGUCAACACUGACGCUCAUGUACGAAAGCGUGGGGAGCAAACAGGAUUAGAUACCC